rnacentral:rRNA from 1 species
GCAAGGUUGAAACUCAAAGGAAUUGACGGGGGCCCGCACAAGCGGUGGAGCAUGUGGUUCAAUUUGACGCAACGCGAAGAACCUUACCUGGGCUUGACAUCCCGGGAACUCUGUGGAAACACGGAGGUGCCCCUUCGGGGGAACCUGGUGACAGGUGCUGCAUGGCUGUCGUCAGCUCGUGUCGUGAGAUGUUGGGUUAAGUCCCGCAACGAGCGCAACCCUUGCCUUUAGUUGCCAUCAUUAAGUUGGGCACUCUAGAGGGACUGCCGGUGUUAAACCGGAGGAAGGUGGGGAUGACGUCAAGUCCUCAUGGCCCUUAUGUCCAGGGCUACACACGUGCUACAAUGGUCGGUACAAAGGGCAGCAAACUCGCGAGAGCAAGCAAAUCCCAAAAAGCCGAUCUCAGUUCGGAUCGAAGUCUGCAACUCGACUUCGUGAAGGUGGAAUCGCUAGUAAUCCCGGAUCAGCAUGCCGGGGUGAAUACGUUCCCGGGCCUUGUACACACCGCCCGUCACACCACGAAAGUUGGCUGUACCAGAAGUCGUUGGGCUAACCCGCAAGGGAAGCAGGCGCCCAAGGUAUGGUCAGUGAUUGGGGUGAAGUCGUAACAAGGUA